rnacentral:tRNA from 2 species
GUGGGUAUAGUUCAAUGGUGGAACGCCGGUCUGUGGCACCGGAUGGUGUGGGUUCGAGUCCCACUACCCACCCCA